AACGAACGCUGGCGGCAUGCUUAACACAUGCAAGUCGAACGGAUCCUUCGGGAUUAGUGUCAGACAGGUGAGUAACGCGUGGGAACGUACCCUGUGCUACGGAAUGACUCAGGGGAACUUUAGCUAAUACCGUAUGUGCCCUACCGUGGGAAGAUUUAUCGGCAAAGGAUCGGCCCGCGUUGGAUUAGCUAGUUGGUGGGGUAAUGGCCUACCAAGGCGACGAUCCAUAGCUGGUCUGAGAGGAUGAUCAGCCACACUGGGACUGAGACACGGCCCAGAUUACUACGGGAGGGAGCAGUGGGGAAUAUUGGACAAUGGGCGCAAGACUGAUCCAGCCAUGCCGCGUGAGUGAUGAAGGUCGUAGGAUUGUAAAGCUCUUUAAACGGUGAAGAUAAUGACGGUAGCCGGAGAAGAAGCCCCGGCUAACUUCGUG
rnacentral:rRNA from 1 species